CCCUUAGAUGUUCUGGGCCGCACGCGCGCUACACUGAUGCAUUCAACGAGCCUAUCCUUGACCGACAGGUCCGGGUAAUCUUUGAAUCUGCAUCGUGACGGGGAUAGAUUAUUGCAAUUAUUAAUCUUCAACGAGGAAUGCCUAGUAGGCGCAAGUCAUCAGCUUGCGUCGAUUACGUCCCUGCCCUUUGUACACACCGCCCGUCGCUCCUACCGAUUGAAUGGUCCGGUGAAAUCUUCGGAUUGAGACUUUGAUUUGUUUACUCAAAACGCUGUUUCAAGAAGUUGAUUAAACCUUACCAUUUAGAGGAAGGUGAAGUCGUAACA
rnacentral:rRNA from 1 species